rnacentral:rRNA from 1 species
GUCUUUUUGAUUAUAAUUUAAGGUUUAAUCUGCUCAAUGAUUAUUUAAAUUGCCGCAGUAUUUUGACUGUGCAAAGGUAGCAUAAUAAUUAGUUUCUUUAUUGGGAACUGGAAUGAAUGAUUGGACGAGAAAAUUUCUGUCUCUUUAUUAUUUUAAUUGAAUUUUACUUUUAAGUUAAAAGGCUUAAAUUUUAUUAGAGGACGAGAAGACCCUAUAGAGUUUAAUUUUUAUUUAAAUAAUUAUUUUUAGUAUCUAUAUAUAUUAUUUAAAUAAAAAUUUAGUUGGGGUGACUAAAAGAUAAGAAUAACUCUUUUAAUUUUUAUCAAUUAUUUUUGAUUAUAAAAUCUUUAUUUUUAAUUUUAAAAUAAAUUACCUUAGGGAUAACAGCGUAAUUCUUUUUUAAAGUUCUUAUUAAAAGAAGAGUUUGCGACCUCGAUGUUGGAUUAAAAUUAAUUUUAGGUGUAGAAGCUUGAAAAUUAAGUCUGUUCGACUUUUAAAAUUUUACAUGAUCUGAGUUUAAACCGGUGUGAGCCAGGUUGGUUUCUAUCCUUAAUUAUAUAUUAUACUUU